AUGAAGUGGCGCCAAGCUUCUGGCAUUCUCUGUGACAAGAGAGUGCCACAAAAGCUAAAACGCAAGUUCUACAGGACGGCGAUUCGACCCGCAAUGUUGUAUGGCGCUGAGUGUUGGCCGACUAAAAGGCGACAUGUUCAACAGUUAGGUAUGGCGGAGAUGUGUAUGUUGAGAUGGAUGUGUGGCCACACGAGGAAGGGUCGAGUUCGGAAUGAUGAUAUACGAGAUAGUGUUGGGGUAGCACCAAUUGAAGAGAAGCUUGUCCAACAUCGUUUGAGAUGGUUUGGGCAUAUUCAGCGCAGGCCUCCAGAAGCUUCGGUGCAUAGUGGACGGCUA
rnacentral:rRNA from 1 species